AGAGUUUGAUCAUGGCUCAGAUUGAACGCUGGCGGCAGGCCUAACACAUGCAAGUCGAGCGGUAGCACAGAGAGCUUGCUCUCGGGUGACGAGCGGCGGACGGGUGAGUAAUGUCUGGGAAACUGCCUGAUGGAGGGGGAUAACUACUGGAAACGGUAGCUAAUACCGCAUAAUGUCGCAAGACCAAAGUGGGGGACCUUCGGGCCUCAUGCCAUCAGAUGUGCCCAGAUGGGAUUAGCUAGUAGGUGGGGUAACGGCUCACCUAGGCGACGAUCCCUAGCUGGUCUGAGAGGAUGACCAGCCACACUGGAACUGAGACACGGUCCAGACUCCUACGGGAGGCAGCAGUGGGGAAUAUUGCACAAUGGGCGCAAGCCUGAUGCAGCCAUGCCGCGUGUGUGAAGAAGGCCUUCGGGUUGUAAAGCACUUUCAGCGGGGAGGAAGGCGGUAAGGUUAAUAACCUUGGCGAUUGACGUUACCCGCAGAAGAAGCACCGGCUAACUCCGUGCCAGCAGCCGCGGUAAUACGGAGGGUGCAAGCGUUAAUCGGAAUUACUGGGCGUAAAGCGCACGCAGGCGGUCUGUCAAGUCGGAUGUGAAAUCCCCGGGCUCAACCUGGGAACUGCAUUCGAAACUGGCAGGCUAGAGUCUUGUAGAGGGGGGUAGAAUUCCAGGUGUAGCGGUGAAAUGCGUAGAGAUCUGGAGGAAUACCGGUGGCGAAGGCGGCCCCCUGGACAAAGACUGACGCUCAGGUGCGAAAGCGUGGGGAGCAAACAGGAUUAGAUACCCUGGUAGUCCACGCCGUAAACGAUGUCGAUUUGGAGGUUGUGCCCUUGAGGCGUGGCUUCCGGAGCUAACGCGUUAAAUCGACCGCCUGGGGAGUACGGCCGCAAGGUUAAAACUCAAAUGAAUUGACGGGGGCCCGCACAAGCGGUGGAGCAUGUGGUUUAAUUCGAUGCAACGCGAAGAACCUUACCUGGUCUUGACAUCCACAGAACUUUCCAGAGAUGGAUUGGUGCCUUCGGGAACUGUGAGACAGGUGCUGCAUGGCUGUCGUCAGCUCGUGUUGUGAAAUGUUGGGUUAAGUCCCGCAACGAGCGCAACCCUUAUCCUUUGUUGCCAGCGGUUCGGCCGGGAACUCAAAGGAGACUGCCAGUGAUAAACUGGAGGAAGGUGGGGAUGACGUCAAGUCAUCAUGGCCCUUACGACCAGGGCUACACACGUGCUACAAUGGCAUAUACAAAGAGAAGCGACCUCGCGAGAGCAAGCGGACCUCAUAAAGUAUGUCGUAGUCCGGAUUGGAGUCUGCAACUCGACUCCAUGAAGUCGGAAUCGCUAGUAAUCGUAGAUCAGAAUGCUACGGUGAAUACGUUCCCGGGCCUUGUACACACCGCCCGUCACACCAUGGGAGUGGGUUGCAAAAGAAGUAGGUAGCUUAACCUUCGGGAGGGCGCUUACCACUUUGUGAUUCAUGACUGGGGUGAAGUCGUAACAAGGUAACCGUAGGGGAACCUGCGGUUG
rnacentral:rRNA from 1 species